UCAGGCCUAACACAUGCAAGUCGAGCGAUGAAGCACCUUCGGGUGUGGAUUAGCGGCGAACGGGUGAGGAACACGUGAGGAAUCUGCCUUCCACUCUGGGAUAACUCCGGGAAACCGGGGCUAAUACCGGAUACUUUCAACUGGCGGCAUCGCCGGUUGAAGAAAGUUUUUCGGUGGAAGAUGACCUCGCGGCCUAUCAGCUUGUUGGUGAGGUAAUGGCUCACCAAGGCGACGACGGGUAGCCGGCCUGAGAGGGCGACCGGCCACACUGGGACUGAGACACGGCCCAGACUCCUACGGGAGGCAGCAGUGGGGAAUAUUGGGCAAUGGAGGAAACUCUGACCCAGCGACGCCGCGUGAGGGAUGAAGGACGUCGGGUUGUAAACCUCUUUCAGCAGGGAAUAAGCGAAAGGAA
rnacentral:rRNA from 1 species